AAGCCAUGACUCGGACACUUUCUCAAUAACUCCUUGAACCUCUCCCAUGCUUCAUGAAAGUUUUCAGACUCGGCUUGCUGAAAAGUUGAAAUCUCAUGUUUAAGUUG